UACGGAGGAUCCAAGCGUUAUCCGGAUUUAUUGGGUUUAAAGGGUGCGUAGGCGGCCUAUUAAGUCAGGGGUGAAAGACGGUAGCUUAACUAUCGCAGUGCCUUUGAUACUGAUGGGCUUGGAUGUACUUGAGGUAGGCGGAAUGUGACAAGUAGCGGUGAAAUGCAUAGAUAUGUCACAGAACACCAAUUGCGAAGGCAGCUUACUAAAGUAUGAUUGACGCUGAGGCACGAAAGCGUGGGGAUCAAACAGG
rnacentral:rRNA from 1 species